AAUGAACGCUGGCGGCGUGCCUAAUACAUGCAAGUCGAGCGAACGGACGAGAAGCUUGCUUUUCUGAUGUUAGCGGCGGACGGGUGAGUAACACGUGGAUAACCUACCUAUAAGACUGGGAUAACUUCGGGAAACCGCAGCUAAUACCGGCUAAUAUUUUGAACCGCAUGGUUCAAAAGUGAAAGACAGUCUUGCUGUCACUUAUAGAUGGAUCCGCGCUGCAUUAGCUAGUUGGUAAGGUAACGGCUUACCAAGGCAACGAUGCGUAGCCGACCUGAGAGGGUGAUCGGCCACACUGGAACUGAGACACGGUCCAGACUCCUACGGGAGGCAGCAGUAGGGAAUCUUCCGCAAUGGGCGAAAGCCUGACGGAGCAACGCCGCGUGAGUGAUGAAGGUCUUCGGAUCGUAAAGCUCUGUUAUUAGGGAAGAACAGAUGUGUAAGUAACUGUGCACAUCUUGACGGUACCUAAUCAGAAAGCCACGGCUAACUACGUG
rnacentral:rRNA from 1 species